GGGCCAUUAGCUCAGUGGACAGAGCGUGAGGCUUCUAUCCUCAGCGUCGUGGGUUCGACUCCUACAUGGCCUUCCA
rnacentral:tRNA from 1 species